rnacentral:lncRNA from 10 species
AGAUUCUUGGCAGGCAGUCUGGCAGAGUCCUGAAGCCUUGGGUCACUGAGGCUGAGGGAGGCUACCUGAUUCUAAUAUUUAGUAUGAUGGGCCUGAGGUUGGGGUCCAAGGCAAAGUCUUAUGAUCACUUCCCUUCCUUAAUCCUAAGUGUAUGAUACCUCACUCAGCACUCUGUUGGCUGGGGUUCAAGGAGGGGUGACAUGGAUAAUAUAAACUCUUUCUUCUUACUGUCUUCAAUGCAUGUUUUCUGGUUCCCUUAGUUCUUCUGAAGGUAUUUUCAUGCCUGGAUAAUUGUUCAAAUUGAUAUUUCUGUGAGGCGGCAAUCACCGGAAAGUCCUCUUCUGCCAUGUUGCUUCACUCUUCUCUCCUAUAUUUAAAAUUAAAUGUAAACCACUAACCAUUCUUAAUUUGAUUGAAGAAAAAAUGUAUAAUCUGUGUUUUUUAUUUGAAUUUAAAGAUAUAACCUGCAACAUGUUUUUUCUAAAUAUGAAUUUAAAGGUAUAACCUGUAACAUUUUUUCAAGGAUUUUUUCUGAAUCCUGGAAAAUACAUAAAAGUAAAUUAAUCUGCUAUUCUGUAGGUAGGUGAAAGUUAAUAAACAUUUUAAUAAGCAUCUAUUUCUAAUGGAACUUGCAGUCAGUAUCUUAGUAAAGAAGAGCUUUAGUUGAUAAUAAACGCUCUAUUUCUGUUUUUAUGAGCAUAGAGAUUUAGUAUUCUCUCAACCACCAGACACCUUUCACAAUAGAAAAACUAUAUUAAAUAUAUUAAAAAUAAAUAAAAAUAGAAGAAAUCAUUUGUGAUGUACAUUUUUUAGAGUGCGAUUAAAAGAAUGUCUUAAAUAUGUAGGUUAUAAACAAAGUUUCAAAUCUAGGUUUCCUUUUAGAAAAGAAAGAAUUGGGAGAGCCAAUUUUAAAUUGAUUAUCAAAAAGUUAAAACAAAUACAAUAACUAUUUUGCUAUUCGUUGUCUAAUCCUGAAGCAAACAUUUAUCUUAUUCAUUUAUAGCUUGACUUGAAAAAAAUAAAGGGAAAAUGCAUAUAUUUUCUCUGAGAGUUUCUGGCCCUCAGGAUUUAUUUUCCAUAAACAUCUAGUUAUUGCCAUGAUGUUAUAUAUGAUUACAACUGAGCAAACAUCUCACCCAGGGAUUUGAGAAUGUAAAUAGCUCCUGAGCCAAGUUGCAGGCUUCCUUAUGCUCAGGUAGGUUUAUAAUACAUUGUGUUGUGGUUUUGUUUUGUUUUUAAUCACUUCUUAGACUCCCAGUUUGGUUGAACAUAGCCCAAGAAGCCUCUCUUUCCAAAACACAAAAAUUAAGCUAAAGACCUGACCAUAUGUUUGGUCCUGAUGGUGCUUAUUUUCUGGGUUAGAUUCAAAGAAUAAAUAAAAUGAAUGAAAU